GAUGAACGCUGGCGGCGUGCUUAACACAUGCAAGUCGAACGAUGAAGCUGGUGCUUGCACUGGUGGAUUAGUGGCGAACGGGUGAGUAACACGUGAGCAACCUGCCCCUGACUCUGGGAUAAGCGCUGGAAACGGUGUCUAAUACUGGAUAUGUCCUAUCGCCGCAUGGUGUGUAGGUGGAAAGAUUUUUUGGUUGGGGAUGGGCUCGCGGCCUAUCAGCUUGUUGGUGGGGUAAUGGCUCACCAAGGCGUCGACGGGUAGCCGGCCUGAGAGGGUGACCGGCCACACUGGGACUGAGACACGGCCCAGACUCCUACGGGAGGCAGCAGUGGGGAAUAUUGCACAAUGGGCGAAAGCCUGAUGCAGCAACGCCGCGUGAGGGAUGACGGCCUUCGGGUUGUAAACCUCUUUUGUCAGGGAAGAAGCCUUUGGGUGACGGUACCUGGAGAAAAAGCACCGGCUAACUACGUGCCAGCAGCCGCGGUAAUACGUAGGGUGCAAGCGUUAUCCGGAAUUAUUGGGCGUAAAGAGCUCGUAGGCGGUUUGUCGCGUCUGCUGUGAAAACUGGGGGGCUCAACUCCUAGCUUGCAGUGGGUACGGGCAGACUUGAGUGCGGUAGGGGAGAUCGGAAUUCCUGGUGUAGCGGUGGAAUGCGCAGAUAUCAGGAGGAACACCCGGAUGGCGAAAGGCCAGAUCUCUGGGCCGUUACUGACCGCUGAGGAGCCGAAAGGGUGGGGGAGCGAACAGGCUUUAGAUACCCUGGUAGUCCACCCCGUAAAACGUUGGGAACUAGUUGUGGGGUCCCUUUCCACGGAUUCCGUGACGCAGCUAACGCAUUAAGUUCCCCGCCUGGGGAGUACGGCCGCAAGGCUAAAACUCAAAGGAAUUGACGGGGACCCGCACAAGCGGCGGAGCAUGCGGAUUAAUUCGAUGCAACGCGAAGAACCUUACCAAGGCUUGACAUAUUCGAGAACACCCUAGAAAUAGGGGACUCUUUGGACACUCGUUUACAGGUGGUGCAUGGUUGUCGUCAGCUCGUGUCGUGAGAUGUUGGGUUAAGUCCCGCAACGAGCGCAACCCUCGUUCUCUGUUGCCAGCACGUUAUGGUGGGAACUCAGGGGAUACUGCCGGGGUCAACUCGGAGGAAGGUGGGGAUGACGUCAAAUCAUCAUGCCCCUUAUGUCUUGGGCUUCACGCAUGCUACAAUGGCCGGUACAAUGGGCUGCGAUACCGUGAGGUGGAGCGAAUCCCAAAAAGCCGGUCCCAGUUCGGAUCGUAGUCUGCAACUCGACUACGUGAAGUCGGAGUCGCUAGUAAUCGCAGAUCAGCAACGCUGCGGUGAAUACGUUCCCGGGUCUUGUACA
rnacentral:rRNA from 1 species